GAGGGUAUAGCUCAGUGGUAGAAAGUGUGCUUAGCAUGAACAAGGUCCUGGGUUCAAUUCCCAGUCCCUUCA
rfam:Camelus ferus unplaced genomic scaffold scaffold1506, whole genome shotgun sequence.